AAAUAAAAGACCUGGACUGUAAA
rnacentral:piRNA from 1 species